rnacentral:misc_RNA from 1 species
CGGGGAAAAGAACGUGUUUUGUAAUACUCCUGUAUAUACUCCUCCAUUACGAGAAUUUAAAGUUGCUGAUGAUAGCCUCAAUUCAAUUCACUAGUUGGAAUGAUUACAAGCAGUGUCAUUUUUUUAACAAUACCCUUGAGCGUGCAGAAUACGCAGCACGCAAUUUUUAUACAAUGCGCUACCAAAGGACCAUUUCUUACAUCAUGAUAUCGCCAUCAUCACAGGAUUGAGAGAGAGUGAGAGAGAUGCUCCAACAAGACAGCUUCAGUUCACAUCAGCGAUGACACAUGCACCAAUUUUUUCAGGAAAUUAAUGCAGCAUGAACUUUACCAUAAAUAGUUACCAUCCAACAAUCUAUAUUUUGUAUUAAGAGCUAUCAUAAGUUGCCAACACUUGAGCCGGUCCAGAAUUUUGAAUUUCUUUCCCUUU